UACGAAGGGGGCUAGCGUUGUUCGGAAUCACUGGGCGUAAAGGGCGCGUAGGCGGCUUUUCAAGUCGGGGGUGAAAGCCUGUGGCUCAACCACAGAAUUGCCUUCGAUACUGUUAGGCUUGAGACCGGAAGAGGUGAGUGGAACUGCGAGUGUAGAGGUGAAAUUCGUAGAUAUUCGCAAGAACACCAGUGGCGAAGGCGGCUCACUGGACCGGUUCUGACGCUGAGGCGCGAAAGCGUGGGGAGCAAACGGG
rnacentral:rRNA from 1 species